CAGUCCUUCAGCUUGGAGGAAGCCUUGAAAUAAUGUUCAGCAAUCUGAGAAUCCUUGGGUAAAAAUCUCAAAAAAAUAAGAAAAUGUCUAGGUAGAAUUUGUAACCAAAACACUCCAUGUUUUGUGAUAGUUAUGAGGAAAAAAAAGGUAAGGUUGGCAGUGUAAAAAUUGUACCACUGCUAGUGCUAGCAUUAAAAAAUGAUUCCCCCUCCCCACCUGGUGGUCACAAUCUCUGGCAUGUAUGUAGUGAGGACAGCAGCAUAUGGCAAUCAGAAGCAAACAGCAGCCAGCUUAAAUGUGCUAUCAUUUGUACUAUGUAAUUACUGCUAUCAUAUCUGGGCUGCAGAAAUCCAAAGGCCAGUAACUAGCAACAAAGGAGCAGAGGGCUCUAUCCCUUUUAGAGCUGAGAACAUGGGAAGCAGGAGUCAGUAAACCUGAAUCCAAUCACUGGAUAAAUAUCUCUACUGACAAAAAGUAUAGCCCAGUGUGAACUGACUCUAAUAUUGACAAACAACUUUAAAUUGUCUUGGGAAACAGCUAUCCAAAAGAAGUUGAGCCACUAUGGCUUUUCUAAUGAGGCUGUUUUGACUUUUAGGGCUAGAUCAAGGUAGAUCAAUAUUAAGGCAGAGGAUUUCAUAAAUAGAAGGCCAAACAGUAAUUGUUGCUUUCUCUCACAAUACAUUUGAAAAUAACUAGAUUUUAAUUCCAUACCAGAUUCGUAUUUAUAUUAAAUCACAGUUUCAAAAUUCAAUAGAAUUUUAUAUAUAACUUAGUGUAAUGCUGUCCCCAUUUUGGAAGGGAAAUAUAGGAUAACUUCUUAUGAAACUCAGCACUAUCCCUCUGACACAGGUGUUAUAGAAAUAGCCCAUGUUUUUUGAACUGCCAGUUCUACAGGGAAUUCAGCAGAUUACUUCUUUUUCAUCUACAUUUCCUAGGCGCUCCAAUAAUUUUUAUUUGCAAGUAUUUGCUAAAUAACCAGGAUAAAUCUGUUUCUCUAAAAGAGUAAAGUUUUGCUACAUUAUAUAUAAGCUUUGCUCACAAAUGGUUGUCAUUGACAAUAGGGGCUAACUUUGCUUUGUGUUUUUUACUGAAUGUAUUUUUACUGGUCAGUGACUGAAAUAAUUUUUUUGUCUGUUUGACUGUGAACGUAUUGUUACCAACAGCACUACCUGUAUGCAUUUAUGAAGUUUUGAGGAAUCAGAUUGAACAUAGGAAUAUUUUAAUAUAAGUUUUAUUACUGUUUCAGAAUGUAAUACGAUUUUUGCAUUCAGAAAAAUGUUUACUUCCUGACAUAUUUUUCUUACCUUCUGUAGUUAUUUAUUCUGUCCCUCACAGUACCCACUCCCUAUGUUUUAAUUAAUACAUUGGGUGGGGGAAGAGAAAAAUGAUUGUAGAAAGAGUUGGUAAUCACUUUCCCACAACAUAAAGGUCCUAAAACUAAAUGUGUUUUUAAAAGUCAGAGUAUUCCAAUGGGUAGCAUAUUGUUUGAAGUCCAUAUUUAGACUGUGGCUUAGCAGCCUACAUGUACUCUGUAUCCUGGUUUAACUUAAUGCAAACAAAAA